rnacentral:rRNA from 1 species
AGAGUUUGAUCAUGGCUCAGGAUGAACGCUAGCGGCAGGCCUAACACAUGCAAGUCGAACGGCAGCACAGGUAGCAAUACUGGGUGGCGAGUGGCGCACGGGUGCGUAACGCGUAUGCAACCUACCUCUAUCUGGGAGAUAGCCCGGAGAAAUUCGGAUUAAUAUCCCAUAAUAUAUGUCUUUCGCAUGUUAGAUAUAUUAAAGCUUUGGCGGUUAGAGAUGGGCAUGCGUGACAUUAGCUAGUUGGUAAGGUAACGGCUUACCAAGGCCACGAUGUCUAGGGGGCCUGAGAGGGUUAUCCCCCACACUGGAACUGAGACACGGUCCAGACUCCUACGGGAGGCAGCAGUGAGGAAUAUUGGUCAAUGGACGCAAGUCUGAACCAGCCAUGCCGCGUGCAGGAAGACGGCCCUACGGGUUGUAAACUGCUUUUAUACGGGAAUAAACCCUCCUACGUGUAGGAGGCUGAAGGUACCGUACGAAUAAGGAUCGGCUAACUCCGUGCCAGCAGCCGCGGUAAUACGGAGGAUCCAAGCGUUAUCCGGAUUCAUUGGGUUUAAAGGGUGCGUAGGCGGGACGUUAAGUCAGUGGUGAAAUCUCUCAGCUCAACUGAGAAACUGCCAUUGAUACUGAUGUUCUUGAGUUUGGUUGAAGUAGGCGGAAUGAGGCAUGUAGCGGUGAAAUGCAUAGAUAUGCCUCAGAACACCAAUUGCGAAGGCAGCUUACUAAGCCAAUACUGACGCUGAGGCACGAAAGCGUGGGUAGCGAACAGGAUUAGAUACCCUAGUAGUCC